GACGAACGCUGGCGGCGUGCUUAACACAUGCAAGUCGAACGGAAAGGCCCUGCUUUUGUGGGGUGCUCGAGUGGCGAACGGGUGAGUAACACGUGAGUACCUGCCCUUGACUUUGGGAUAACUUCAGGAAACUGGGGCUAAUACCGGAUAGGAGCUCCUGCUGCAUGGUGGGGGUUGGAAAGUUUCGGCGGUUGGGGAUGGACUCGCGGCUUAUCAGCUUGUUGGUGGGGUAGUGGCUUACCAAGGCUUUGACGGGUAGCCGGCCUGAGAGGGUGACCGGCCACAUUGGGACUGAGAUACGGCCCAGACUCCUACGGGAGGCAGCAGUGGGGAAUAUUGCACAAUGGGCGGAAGCCUGAUGCAGCAACGCCGCGUGCGGGAUGACGGCCUUCGGGUUGUAAACCGCUUUCGCCUGUGACGAAGCGUGAGUGACGGUAAUGGGUAAAGAAGCACCGGCUAACUACGU
rnacentral:rRNA from 1 species